rnacentral:misc_RNA from 1 species
UUUUCGUAGGUGAACCUGCGGAGGGAUCAUUACAGAGUUCAUGCCCUUACGGGUAGAUCUCCCACCCUAUGUUAUUAUUACAUCGUUGCUUUGGCGGGCCGCCCGGCCUCGGUCAGGCUACCGGCUUCGGCUGGUACGCGCCCGCCAGAGGAAACCAAACUCUGAGUUUAGUGUCGUCUGAGUACUAUACAAUAGUUAAAACUUUCAACAACGGAUCUCUUGGUUCUGGCAUCGAUGAAGAACGCAGC